GGGCUCGUAGCUCAGCUAGGUAGAGCAACUGGCUCUUAACCAGUUGGCCAGGGGUUCGAAUCCCCUCGAGCCCG
rnacentral:tRNA from 2 species